AUGAAGAGACUUACUAUGGGCAUUUGGUCAAUUGUGAUGCUUGGAUGAACAUCCAUCUCCGUUUAGCUUUAAUUUUCCUUAAACUUAAUAUCCUUGAUCUGUUUUAGAUUUCAAAAUUUGCCAUCCCUUUCCAUGCGUUCAUUUUAUGUUCUUGACCCCGGCUUUUCUUGCAGGUUGCUUGAUUUUUAUUUUUGGCUUUAAAAAAAUGGUACAGCUUCCUCUUUCUUUACCCAAGGACUACUCAAGGCCACCCAAUGCUUGUAAUUCAUGGUGGUUGUACGCUGUAAUAGUUGGUGGAAUUGAAAAACGGAGAGACUUACAAUGGGCAUUUGGUCAAUUGUGAUGCUUGGAUGAACAUCCAUCUCCGUUUAGCUUUAAUUUUCUUUAACGCUAAUAUCCUUAAUCUGUUUUAGAAUCCAAAAUUUCCCAUCCCUUUCCAUGCGUUCAUUUUAUGUUCUUGACCUUGGCUUUUCUUGCAGGUUGCUUGAUUUUUCUUUUUUGCUCUAAAAAACAUGGUAACCAUCUCAACUGUCUUUGAUUUGAAAACUUUUUAUCUUUCUCCUGUUUUCUUUGACACUCUUAAUUUUUUUUUCUUCUUUUAAAUACUGCUUCCUAUUUCUUUGAUUUGAAAACGUUCUUUCUCCAGUUUUCUUUGACACACUUAAUUUUUUUUUUCUUGUGUUAACUGCACCUUCCUCUUUCUUUAUUCAAGACUGCUCAAGGCCACCCAAUGGUAAGAAAGAGAUGUCUGUUUUUCUUGUCGUGUCAUUUGACCAGAUGAAUCCAGAAUUUUCUGCAAAUUUGUAUACUUUGUUUUACGCUCUUUUCCAUUUUUUUUAUGCAGCUUGUAAUUCAUGGUGGUUGUUUGUUGUAACCGUUGGUGGAAUUGAGAAACAGAUAGACUUCCGAUGGGCAUUUGGUGAAUUGUGAUGCUUGGAUGAACAUCCAUCUCUGUUUAGCUUUAAUUUUCUUUAACCCUAAUAUCCUCGAUCUGUUUUAGAUUCCAAAAUUUCCCAUCCCUUUUCAUGCUUUCAUUUUAUGUUCUUGACCCUGGCUUUUCUUGCAAGUUGCUUGAUUUUUAUUUUUGGCUCUAAAAAACAUGGUAACCAUCUCAACUGCAGCUUUCUCUUUCUUUACUCAAGACUGCUCAAGGCCACCCAAUGGUAAGAAAGAGAUGUCUGUUUUUCUUGUCGUCUCAUUUGACCAUACGAAUCCAGAAUUUUCUGCAAAUUUGUAGACUUUGUUUUACAGCCUUUUCCAUUUUUUUUAUGCAGCUUGUAAUUCAUGGUGGUUCUAUGAUGUAAUAGUUGGUGGAAUUGAAAAACGGAGAAACUUACAAUGUGCAUUUGGUCAAUUGUGAUGCUUGGUUGAACAUCCAUCUCUGUUUAGCUUUAAUUUUCCUUAACCCUAAUAUCCUUGAUCUGUUUUAGAUUCCAAAAUUUGCCAUCCCUUUCCAUGCUUUCAUUUUAUGUUCUUGACCCUGGCUUUUCUUGCAGGUUGCUUGAUUUUUCUUUUUAGCUCUAAAAAAUAGGCCUCCUAUUUCUUUCUCAUGACUGCUCAAGGCCACCCAAAGCUUGUAAUUCAUGGUGGUUCUAUGAUGUAAUAGUUGGUGGAAUUGAAAAACGGAGAAACUUACAUUGGGU